CGUGCAGUCGACGAUGAACCGCUUUCUAGGCGUGAGGAUAUAGUGGCGAACGGGUGAGUAACACGUGGGCAAUCUGCCCUGCACUCUGGGACAAGCCCUGGAAACGGGGUCUAAUACCGGAUAUGACUGUCCAUCGCAUGGUGGAUGGUGUAAAGCUCCGGCGGUGCAGGAUGAGCCCGCGGCCUAUCAGCUUGUUGGUGAGGUAGUGGCUCACCAAGGCGACGACGGGUAGCCGGCCUGAGAGGGCGACCGGCCACACUGGGACUGAGACACGGCCCAAACUAAUACGGGAGGCAGCAGUGGGGAAUAUUGCACAAUGGGCGAAAGCCUGAUGCAGCGACGCCGCGUGAGGGAUGACGGCCUUCGGGUUGUAAACCUCUUUCAGCAGGGAAGAAGCGAAAGUGACGGUACCUGCAGAAGAAGCGCCGGCUAACUACGUGCCAGCAGCCGCGGUAAUACGUAGGGCGCAAGCGUUGUCCGGAAUUAUUGGGCGUAAAGAGCUCGUAGGCGGCUUGUCACGUCGGUUGUGAAAGCCCGGGGCUUAACCCCGGGUCUGCAGUCGAUACGGGCAGGCUAGAGUUCGGUAGGGGAGAUCGGAAUUCCUGGUGUAGCGGUGAAAUGCGCAGAUAUCAGGAGGAACACCGGUGGCGAAGGCGGAUCUCUGGGCCGAUACUGACGCUGAGGAGCGAAAGCGUGGGGAGCGAACAGGAUUAGAUACCCUGGUAGUCCACGCCGUAAACGGUGGGCACUAGGUGUGGGCAACAUUCCACGUUGUCCGUGCCGCAGCUAACGCAUUAAGUGCCCCGCCUGGGGAGUACGGCCGCAAGGCUAAAACUCAAAGGAAUUGACGGGGGCCCGCACAAGCGGCGGAGCAUGUGGCUUAAUUCGACGCAACGCGAAGAACCUUACCAAGGCUUGACAUACACCGGAA
rnacentral:rRNA from 1 species